rnacentral:rRNA from 1 species
UACGUAGGGUGCGAGCGUUGUCCGGAAUUAUUGGGCGUAAAGGGCUCGUAGGCGGUCUGUCGCGUCGGGAGUGAAAACACGGGGCUUAACCCCGUGCCUGCUUCCGAUACGGGCAGACUAGAGGUAUGCAGGGGAGAACGGAAUUCCUGGUGUAGCGGUGAAAUGCGCAGAUAUCAGGAAGAACACCGGUGGCGAAGGCGGUUCUCUGGGCAUUACCUGACGCUGAGGAGCGAAAGUGUGGGGAGCGAACAGG